rnacentral:rRNA from 1 species
UAAUACUGCAAGUCGAGCGAAUGGAUUAAGAGCUUGCUCUUAUGAAGUUAGCGGCGGACGGGUGAGUAACACGUGGGUAACCUGCCCAUAAGACUGGGAUAACUCCGGGAAACCGGGGCUAAUACCGGAUAACAUUUUGAACCGCAUGGUUCGAAAUUGAAAGGCGGCUUCGGCUGUCACUUAUGGAUGGACCCGCGUCGCAUUAGCUAGUUGGUGAGGUAACGGCUCACCAAGGCAACGAUGCGUAGCCGACCUGAGAGGGUGAUCGGCCACACUGGGACUGAGACACGGCCCAGACUCCUACGGGAGGCAGCAGUAGGGAAUCUUCCGCAAUGGACGAAAGUCUGACGGAGCAACGCCCCGUGAGUGAUGAAGGCUUUCGGGUCGUAAAACUCUGUUGUUAGGGAAGAACAAGUGCUAGUUGAAUAAGCUGGCACCUUGACGGUACCUAACCAGAAAGCCACGGCUAACUACGUGCCAGCAGCCGCGGUAAUACGUAGGUGGCAAGCGUUAUCCGGAAUUAUUGGGCGUAAAGCGCGCGCAGGUGGUUUCUUAAGUCUGAUNUNAAGCCCACGGCUCAACCGUGGAGGGCAUUGGAAACUGGGAGACUUGAGUGCAGAAAAGGAAAGUGGAAUUCCAUGUGUAGCGGUGAAAUGCGUUGAGAUAUGGAGGAACACCA